AUCUGGCUGCUGCUGCCUCAGCAAUGGAGGAACACUGAGCCAAGUACAUCACUGGCCACUGGCAGCAAGGGAACUACUGUGUUGGCCCCCUUCCAUCUUGGGAUAUAAGCACUCUCUGAGGGCUUAUAGAGUGUCUGACCCUCUAGCAUCCUGUACAAUCUGGGUCUGAUCCACAGUGAAGCAGCUGAAAGACUAGCCCAUGACCAUGGAACCUACUGUUCAUGCACAAACUACAUGACCCAGAGGCAGCCAGCCUCAUAGAGCGUGUGAACAGCUUUCUAAAGAUCUGUGCACAGCCCCAGACCAGCACCAUGGUCAAGGUGUCAAAUACCAAGCUACCAAAGAUCCCUCAGAAUGAAGAUUUGUGUUAAACUGUCAGGGACAUAGGGGGUGGGAGGCUUACCAUCAGGAGCCACCUCCACAUUUCACAUUCACCAGAGAUCCUCGACUCAGAAGACACUGUGCGCUGUGUGCUUCUCACAGGGAGAGCUGACCUGCCACGGGCCAGGCGGCCUGGCUGGAGGUGGAGCACCUGUCACUAUACUAGCUGUGCCUGGGCAAAUGACCUUAAGAUACAUAUCACUAAAGAAGAUUUAUAGAUGACAAGCAUAUGAGAACAUGCUCCUUAUCAUAUGUCAGCAGGAAAAUGCAAAUUAAAACAAGGAGAUAUCACUAUCUGCCUACUAAAAUGGCCAAACUCUCAAACACUGACAACAAAUGCUGCUGAGGAUGUGGAGUAACAGGUACUCUCAUUCCUUGCUGGUGGGAAUGCUAAAUGGCACAGCCACUAUGGGCAACAGUUUGCCAGGUUCUUACAAAACUAAACAUACUCUCGCAAUCCAGCAAUUGCACUCCUUGGUAUUUAUCUAUGAGUGGAAACCUUACAUCCACACAAAAACCUGCACACAGAUAUUUAUAGCAACUUUCUUCAUAGUUGCCAAAACUUAGGAGCAAUCAGCAUGUCCUUCAGCAGUGAUGGAUAAAUAAACUGGUUCAUUCAGACAAUGGAACAUUAUUCAAUGCUAAAAAGGAAUGAGCUACUAAGUCAUGAAAAAACAUGGAAGAACCUUAAAUUCACAUUAUUAAGUCUAAGGAGCCACUCUGAAAAGGCUACAUACUGUCUGAUCCCAACUACAGACUUACUGGAAAAAGCAAAACUAUGGAGACAGCAAAAAGAUCAGUGGUUGCCAGGAGUUAGGGAAGAGGGCGGGAUGAACAGGCAGAGUACGGAGGGUUUUUGGGGGAGUGAAACUGCUCUGUAUACUAUAAUGAUAGACAUGUCUUUAUGCAUUUUCAAAACCCUCAGAAUAUAUAACACCAAGAGUGAGCCCAGUGUGAACUAAGGACUUUGGAUGAUAAUGGUAGGUUAAUGUAGACUCUCGAUGGUGGGGGGACUGCAUGUGUGAUGCUGGGGAGACUGCAUGUGAUGGUGAGGAGACUGCAUGUGAUGAUAGGGAGACUGCAUGUGAUGGUGAGGAGGCUGCAUGUGUGAUGUUGGGGAGGCUGCCUGUGAUGGUGAGGAGGCUGCAUGUGUGAUGUUGGGGAGACUGCAUGUGAUGAUAGGGAGACUGCAUGUGAUGGUGGGGAGACUGCAUGUGUGAUGAUAGGGAGACUGCAUGUGAUGGUGGGGAGACUGCAUGUGUGAUGCUGGGGAGACUGCAUGUGAUGGUGAGGAGGCUGCAUGUGUGAUGUUGGAGAGACUGCAUGUGAUGAUAGGGAGACUGCAUGUGAUGGUGAGGAGACUGCAUGUGAUGGUGAGGAGACUGCAUGUGUGAUGUUGGGGAGACUGCAUGUGAUGAUAGGGAGACUGCAUGUGAUGGUGGGGAGACUGCAUGUGUGAUGAUAGGGAGACUGCAUGUGAUGGUGGGGAGACUGCAUGUGUGAUGCUGGGGAGACUGCAUGUGAUGGUGAGGAGGCUGCAUGUGUGAUGUUGGAGAGACUGCAUGUGAUGAUAGGGAGACUGCAUGUGAUGGUGAGGAGACUGCAUGUGAUGGUGAGGAGACUGCAUGUGUGAUGUUGGGGAGACUGCAUGUGAUGAUAGGGAGACUGCAUGCGAUGGUGAGGAGGCUGCAUGUGUGAUGUUGGGGAGACUGCAUGUGAUGGUGAGGAGGCUGCAUGUGUGAUGUUGGGGAGACUGCAUGUGAUGGUGGGGAGACUGCAUGUGUGAUGGUGAGGAGACUGUAUGUGUGAUGUUGGGGAGACUGCAUGUGUGAUGGUGAGGAGACUGCAUGUGAUGAUAGGGAGACUGCAUGUGUGAUGUUGGGGAGACUGCAUGUGAUGGUGAGGAGGCUGCAUGUGUGAUGUUGGGGAGACUGCAUGUGAUGGUGGGGAGACUGCAUGUGUGAUGGUGAGGAGACUGUAUGUGUGAUGUUGGGGAGACUGCAUGUGUGAUGGUGAGGAGACUGCAUGUGAUGAUAGGGAGACUGCAUGUGUGAUGGUGAGGAGACUGCAUGUGAUGGUGGGGAGACUGCAUGUGAUGGUGAGGAGACUGCAUGUGUGAUGCUGGGGAGACUGCAUGUGAUGGUGAGGAGGCUGCAUGUGUGAUGUUGGGGAGACUGCAUGUGAUGGUGAGGAGACUGCAUGUGUGAUGUUGGGGAGACUGCAUGUGAUGAUAGGGAGACUGCAUGUGAUGAUGAGGAGACUGCAUGUGUGAUGCUGGGGAGACUGCAUGUGAUGGUGAGGAGACUACAUGUGUGAUGUUGAGGAGACUGCAUGUGAUGAUAGGGAGACUGCAUGUGAUGGUGAGAAGACUGCAUGUAAUGGUAGGUGUAUAGGGCAAUCUACCCUUUCCAUGUAAUAUUGCUGUGAACCUAAGACUACUCUGAAAAAUAGUCUUUUACAAAAGGGCUUAUUGCCCUAACCGGUUUGGCUCAGUGGAUAGAGUGUUGGCCUCCUGACUGAAGGG